rnacentral:lncRNA from 1 species
AAUUUUCUGGAUUUUUCCCGCAAUUUUCUGGAAUUUCCCAGAAUUUCCCAGAAUUUUCCGGAAUUUUCCGGAAUUUCCCAUGCUCAGAUUUUCCCGUUUUCCCCCAGUGCCGCGACGUGAGGACGCGCGAGGUCGGGAUUCAGGAGAUCCACCACAAAGUGAGGCCCUACCAGGUGGAGCUGGUCCGGCGGGAUCACGCAGCCAAUUCCAAAUUCCCAUUUAAAUUCAGUUGCCUUUAGGGAAUCCCUUCCUGUCUGCCCAUAUUAACGGAUCCACGGAAUCGUCUCACAUUUCCCAUUUCCCAUUUUGCAUUUUCCCUGGCUCUCCCAUCCCAGGUGGAGCUGAUCCAUCAGUAUCACGUGGCCAAUUCCAAAUUCCCAUUUAAAUUCACUUGCCUUUAGGGAAUCCAUUCCUGUUUGCCCACACUAACAGAUCCACGGAAUCGCCUCCCAUUUUCCCAUUUUCCCUCCUCCCGUCCCAGGUGGAGCUGAUCCAUCAGGAUCACAUGACCAAUUCCAAAUUCCCAUUUAAAUUCAGUUACCUUUAGGGAAUCCC